rnacentral:lncRNA from 1 species
UAAUUAGCCAUGUACUUGCAAUAGCGGGAUGUAAAGUAAAAGGAAAAACACUAAAAAUGUUGUUUUUUUGGACUGUGACAAAGAGCUUUUUAAAUGAGUUUGGGCAUUUUUAGUGUCUGACUCAUGUCUGGAGAUUUCUGCUAUAUUCCAGAAUCCUUUAACUUUUGUGUUUUUUCUUUCUGCCUUUGACAAUGACACACUAAUAGCUUCAGGCUUCCUACUGCCUUCUCGUGCAUAUUGCCCUCCUUUGUUUUCUGUUAGAGACAAAAUGUCAGAAUUUUAGAUGGUGGUUUUUGUGAUCAUGGCAAGAGUUAAGGAAAUUUUGGUGGAUCCAGUGAUGACUGAUUGGAGCUUCUUCAGCCUGAGUUUCCACAUUUCAUCUUUGGUUGUCUUUUGUUUCAUGAGACCACACCAUAAACUCAUACCAGGAACGAGGAAACACAUCUCUGAGAGCCACUGAACUAUCACACAUAUCGACUGAUUUCUCCCACCUCUGAAAGCCAACACAGAAAUAGCCAGAGAAUAACCCAGCUUUUGGUUUUAUCCAUCAGCAAAAGGUUUUCAUGCAUCAAAUCUGUUUGUGGAUUCUAAAAAGGCUGAUUCAUGGCGUGGUUUAUGAACACUGUUUGUUCCUUCAAGUUCCUGAUUGCUUCCACGGGAUCCAUUUGGCUUCUCCUGACUCGAGCUGAGAGUCUUUCCAACAAUAGAGAGAACAGAGGCUCGGAAGAACUGAGCCACAGGCUUUGAAGUGUGAACAUUUGUCUUUGUUCUGAUCAGAAAUGAAACCUGAAAUUUUCAAUGAAGGAAAAUUUGUACAAUGUGGGAAACAGUUUCGGGGCAAAAUUGAAACAAUAAUUCUAACGUGGCCUCUUAGAAUGUGACCUUUUUAUCUCUUAACAACAUUUAAAUAUAAUAAAGAAUUUGAAUAUU